UACGAAGGGGGCUAGCGUUGCUCGGAAUCACUGGGCGUAAAGGGUGCGUAGGCGGGUCUUUAAGUCAGGGGUGAAAUCCUGGAGCUCAACUCCAGAACUGCCUUUGAUACUGGGGAUCUCGAGUCCGGAAGAGGUUGGUGGAACUGCGAGUGUAGAGGUGAAAUUCGUAGAUAUUAGGAAGAACACCAGUGGCGGAAGGCGGCUCACUGGCCCAUAACGUGACGCUGAGGCACGAAAGCGUGGGGAGCAAACAGG
rnacentral:rRNA from 1 species